rnacentral:rRNA from 1 species
AGUAACUGCGAGUGAAGCGGGAAAAGCUCAAAUUUAAAAUCUGGCAGAUGUUUGUCUGUCCGAGUUGUAACCUAGAGAAGUGUAACCUGUGCUGGACCGUGUACAAGUCUCCUGGAAUGGAGCAUCAUAGAGGGUGAGAAUCCCGUCUUUGACAUGGACUACCAGUGCACUGUGGUUGCACACUCAACGAGUCGAGUUGUUUGGGAAUGCAGCUCUAAAUGGGUGGUAAAUUCCAUCUAAAGCUAAAUAUUGGCGAGAGACCGAUAGCGAACAAGUACCGUGAGGGAAAGAUGAAAAGAACUUUGGAAAGAGAGUUAAACAGUAUGUGAAAUUGUUGAAAGGGAAACGCUUGAAGUCAGCUGCAUUAGCUGGGGAUCAAGCCAGCUUUUUUGCUGGGUGUACUUCCUGGUUGAUGGGCCAACAUCAGUUUUGACCAUCAGAGAAAGGCUAAGGGAAUGUGGCACCUUUAUAGGUGUGUUAUAGCCCUUGGUUGUAUGUGAUGGUUGGGACUGAGGACAGCAGCGUGCCGCAAGGCUGGGCUUUGAACCACGUUCACGCUUUGGAUGUUGGCAUAAUGGCUUUAAGCGACCCGUCUUGAAACACGGACCAAGGAGUCUAACAUGCAUGCGAGUGUUUGGGUGGAAAACUCGAGCGCGUAAUGAAAGUGACAGUUGAGAUCCCUCUCACAGGGGAGCAUCGACGCCCGGACCAGAACUUUUGGGACGGAUCUGCGGUAGAGCAAGCAUGUUGGGACCCGAAAGAUGGUGAACUAUGCCUGAAUAGGGUGAAGCCAGAGGAAACUCUGGUGGAGGCUCGUAGCGAUUCUGACGUGCAAAUCGAUCGUCGAAUUUGGGUAU